AGUGAACGCUGGCGGUAGGCCUAACACAUGCAAGUCGAACGGCAGCACAGUAAGAGCUUGCUCUUACGGGUGGCGAGUGGCGGACGGGUGAGGAAUACAUCGGAAUCUACUUUUUCGUGGGGGAUAACGUAGGGAAACUUACGCUAAUACCGCAUACGACCUACGGGUGGAAGCAGGGGAUCUUCGGACCUUGCGCGAUUGAAUGAGCCGAUGUCGGAUUAGCUAGUUGGCGGGGUAAAGGCCCACCAAGGCGACGAUCCGUAGCUGGUCUGAGAGGAUGAUCAGCCACACUGGAACUGAGACACGGUCCAGACUCCUACGGGAGGCAGCAGUGGGGAAUAUUGGACAAUGGGCGCAAGCCUGAUCCAGCCAUACCGAGUGGGUGAAGAAGGCCUUCGGGUUGUAAAGCCCUUUUGUUGGGAAAGAAAAGCAGCAGGUUAAUACCCCGCUGUUCUGACGGUACCCAAAGAAUAAGCACCGGCUAACUUCGUG
rnacentral:rRNA from 1 species